rnacentral:rRNA from 1 species
UACGGAGGGCGCAAGCGUUGUCCGGAUUUAUUGGGUUUAAAGGGUACGUAGGCGGGCCUUUAAGUCAGUGGUGAAAGCCCAUAGCUCAACUAUGGAAAUGCCAUUGAUACUGGAGGUCUUGAGUUCAGUUGAGGUAAGCGGAAUUUAUGGUGUAGCGGUGAAAUGCAUAGAGACCAUAAAGAACACCGAUUGCGAAGGCAGCUUACUGGGCUUGAACUGACGCUGAGGUACGAAAGCGUGGGGAUCGAACAGG